rnacentral:rRNA from 1 species
GCUAAGGUCCCCAAAUCAAUGUUAAGUGGGAAAGGAGGUGCAAGUGCAAAGACAACCAGGAGGUUUGCCUAGAAGCAGCCACCCUAGAAUGAGUGCGUAAUAGCUCACUGGUCAAGCGCUUGCGCGCCGAAAAUGAACGGGACUAAACAUUGUACCGAAGCUGUGGACUUGAAAAAGUGGUAGGGGAGCGUUCUAUUUGAUGCGAAGCAUUAGCGGCGAGCAGAUGUGGAUUGAAUAGAAGUGAGAAUGUCGGCUUGAGUAGCGCAAAUAUUGGUGAGAAUCCAAUACCCCGAAACCCCAAGGGUUCCAGAGGCAGGUUCGUCCACUCUGGGUAAGUCGGGACCUAAGGCGAGGACGAAAGUCGUAGUCGAUGGACAUGAGGUUAAUAUUCCUCAACUAGAAUUGUGGAGCAUUACAUGGGACGCAUUGAGAAGCAACUAUGCCCUGAUUGGAUUGGGAGGGGAAUACGUUCUCCGUUUAGUUGUAAUUGGUGUCAAGAAAAGCAUGUAAUGUGUUGAAGCAGUUAUACCCGUACUCGAAACCGACACAGGUGGGGAGGUAGAG